ensembl:lncRNA
AUUUGCAGAAGUCGCUGUUGCUACACAAGACGUUUAAUCCAAGAUGGUGAUGGUAGGCCACGUGCAGAGGCGCUCAGACCUCUGAGCAGCGCAACUGCACAAGCCUCGCGAGAACUCCUUGCCUGUUGAGGAAAACCUCAAAUGCAGCCUCCGAGGGCCUGUUGGGAAGACUAUGGGUGCUAGAGUGAGAGCUCACACCUUUUCAGAACUGAACUCGAUAUUGUUUCAUUAGUACGAGUUACACCAGGAGGACACUUUUUGGAGCCUAACUGCCAAGGAUUGCUAACAAACUUUGGCCCACCCUGGCUCCAACAGGAAGACAGCAGAGACGUUGGGAGGUUUGUUUGAGGAUGCCUGGAUCUGGUUUCAGUUUACUGUGAUGGGGUACAAUGGCGUCAGCCUGCAGUUGAAUUCCGAGCAACUCUGCCCAACCACCUGAGAGUGGUGCACACACCGCAUUGCCCACAGGGUCGUCUGUACUGUUCAUCUGUAUCGUUGGGGGUUGAAGACAAACUCGCUGGAAUCUGCCUGCUGCCCCUGGCUGUCCUUCCUUCGGUGAAGGAUGCCCUGGAUGACGGGGACCUGUGGAUGAGAGGGAAGCCUCAACACUCUGCCCAUUGUCUCCCCUGAUUCCUGAACUAAGCAGUAGCAGAUGCACCAGCGCUUUUUGUGCUCCCAGCCUCCAAGAUUAACAGUAGAUUUUGCCUUGUCACUUCCGGUUUGGUAAAGAACGCUGAGCAGCCCUGAGAAGCCGCUGUUGCAGCACAAGAUGUGCAGCAGGAGCUGAGACCCAGAAAGGCCCAGGUAGUGAGGAUUAGCUGAUAAAACUGGUUGAAGAUGCUGGACCUGAAUUUCUGAAGUGAGCUUGAGGCACUUUGAGCCACUUAACCAGAUUCUGAGCUGCUGGUGAGAAGAGGAAACACUGACUUCCACCCUCUAGAGGCAAACCUUGGGUGUUUCUUCAUCGUUGGAGGUUCUUCAGGCUCUUCUCCCAGCAAUAGCACAGACUACCAGCUGCCCCAGUGAUCUGAGAAAUGAGAACAUAUACCAAGAUCUAGAAAUCGGUGGUUGCAAAAGGAAGAGACUGAUAUAACCAACAUCGGUAAGAAAGAUUUUUAAGUAUGUUCUUGGACUACAUUUUUU